AGGAAGAAAUGGAAAAUAUAUUAAAUAUCUGAAGAGAUGACAUGACAUAAAACGUCAUAUUAUACCUGUUAACACAGAUGAAUUCUUUUGGGAACAUCAGGAGGAGAUACAGAAAAGGUUACAUUUCUCAUUUUUGAAAGUGAUUGUGACGCACAGCUUUCAACGCACCAGAUCAUAUGGACAUGCUAUAGCUAUGAUAUCAAUUCUGAAAUCAGAAGUAGAGAAGAAAAUAAUAACGACAUUGGGUUGAUGUUCCAAAUAGUACAGUUACUAUGAGGAGCAACGAUAUACCACUCGACGCAGCAGUAGUACUAAUACGAAUAGUUGUCAUAUGCAAAUCUUGCAUUAUUCAUAUUUUGUACUGAUCGCAGAUCAAAUAUUGACUUAGAAAAAGACAACAAAAAGUAUUUAAAAAAUCAGACUAUAUUUGUGAUAUAGGAAUGUUACAAUUCUUUAAAUAUGAGAUUUUUUGAUAUAGCAAGAAAACUUCAAGGAGGGAGUUUUAGAUUCUUUGAAGUACUUUUAAAAAAUGUUAAGUUAAAAAUUAAAAUGGAUCGUUACACCAACUUUUCAUUAAAUGGUUCGUUAAAACAUCUCCUUUGGAUUAUUAUUUCACCAUCAAAAGAGUGAUACCAGCUCUCGAUUAUUUUAUAGAAAUUUUUGUGUUUUUUCAAGAAUAGUAAAAACAAGGAAUUUUGUUUUUAAAUAAAAGAAAAAUUAAGAGUUCUUUCACUGUGGUUUGAUGUAUGGUAUAGAUAUCUAAUAAAAUAUGCCUACAAGA